rnacentral:rRNA from 1 species
UACGAAGGGUGCAAGCGUUACUCGGAAUUACUGGGCGUAAAGCGUGCGUAGGCGGUUUGUUAAGUCUGUCGUGAAAGCCCUGGGCUCAACCUGGGAAUUGCGAUGGAUACUGGCAAGCUAGAGUACGGUAGAGGAUGGUGGAAUUCCCGGUGUAGCGGUGAAAUGCGCAGAUAUCGGGAGGAACACCGGUGGCGAAGGCGGUUCUCUAGUACGGUACUGACGCUGAGACGCGAAAGCGUGGGGAGCGAACAGG